AGGGGCCUUUGUGAGCGCCCAGCUCCGGCGUCUCCUGGACAGCACCGCCCUCCGGUGGCCGCGAGUCGGGAGGGCUGGGGAAGCCGCCCGAGAGGCAGCGCCCGAGCUCCCCACGAGCUGCCGUGCCACUGGAAGCGCUAGCCCCCUCUCCUCGGAGCCCAGCCAAGUCGGGGGGAAGACUGGGAGAGAAAUCGCCACCCCCUAGAGGGCAAGUGGGCUCAGCCCUAGGAAAUGCUUGUUUCUCCAGCCCCUCCCAGACGCCCCGGGGAAACGGCAUCCCAGAGCUCCGCUCCCUGGAGGCCCCUCCAGAGAGGGACCCGGAGCCCCGCCCCGCAGCUGGAGAAGGGGUGAAUGCCUUUCCUACCUAACGCCUGGUCCGCGGCCCUGCUUGUUGCGUCUCCAAGACCACGUGUCUGCUGCAUUUUAAAAAUAGUUGUGAACAUCUGACUUUCUCCUGUUGCUGGCGUGCAGUGGCACAAUCUCUGCUCACUGCAACCUCGGCUUCUCAGGUUCAAGCGAGUCUCCUGGCUCAGCCUUCCCAGUAGCUGGGAUUACAGGCGCGUGCCACCAUGCCCAGACAAGCCAACUUAAAUGUUCAACAGCAGAAGAUUCAUUAAAUAAAAAAUGUUAUGUCGGCUGGGCACGGUGGCUCACGAGUCAUCCCAGCACUUUGGGAGGCUGAGGCAGGAGGAUCACUUGAGGUCAGGAGUUCAAGACCAGCCAGUCCAACAUCGCAAAACCCCGUCUCUACUAAAAAUACAAAAACUAGCUGGGCAUAGUGGUGCAUGCCUGUAGUACCAGCUACUGGGGGCGCUGAGGCAGGAGGAUCACUUGAGCCCAGGAGGUUGACGCUCAGUGAACUAUGAUUAUGCCGCUGUGCUCUAGACUGGGUGACAGAACGAGACCCUGCCUAAAAAAAAGAAAGAAAGAAAGAAAGAAGACCUGAAAGGAGAGUCACCAAAAG